CUCGUCAACGCUAUUAGACUGGUCAAAUGAUGAUUUAGACUCUAAUAACUCAAUUAGUUUGAUACAAACGUUAAUUAAUAGGAAUUAAUCUAACACCGAUUUAGAUACGAAUCUAGUUCCGUUAGAUAGAUCUCGAAAAGUUGAGUGGAAUAGACUACUCGAACCUAUCAUUCGGAUAUUAUACGAAGAAGAAAUCAUAUGAGUUGUGUGAAGGGUAAAAUGGUCAUUUAACACUCGUACUCAUCAAGGCAGCCGAGUUAUCUUCUGUGAGCACUGAAGGUCUUCCCUUAUCUGUUGGUUGGGUGCCUCUGUGAUGUGUAGCUGGCCUUAUCACCAAUACGUGUCAAAGAGAAACCCAUUCUCUUUUGUUCCUUCUCUUUAUUUUUCUCCUCGUGUCUUCUUUCUUCCUCCUCUUUCUUCUUUUUAUCCUUUUGCUUCUCUUCAUCGCUCCGACGGUUCUGUGAGAUAACUCUGAGGUCGAAAUCAAAAAGAAACUUAAUGGAAACAUUAGGAAUCUAUUGUUGGUGAUGAUGCUGAUGUUUAUCAAGCACGGGAAGAAGCAAAUGAAAUUGCUUCUCUAAAGUUAAGUUAGGGUUCAUGGAAGAAAUAGAGGAAUUUGAUAAAUUAGAAGAUGGGUUCGAUUUUGAUGAUUCUGAUUGUUAUUUAAGUUGGAUGUUGAAUUAAUCGAAGGGUUAGGUCGAAACUACAGAUUGUAUCAAGAUUUCAGGUGAUGAAUUAUGUCUCUGUGAAUUAGGGUUCUAGAUGAAUUAGAAGAUGAAAUCGAUAUCUUAGGGAUAAGAUUAAAUAUGGGUUUUGUGUUCUGAGAACAAAGAUGAAGAAUUGGGUAUUCAAUUUGGUGAUUGGUUAUAGAAAAGAAGAAGUUUAAUUAAGAAUUAAUUUAGGGUUUCAAACGGUUUUGGAUUUAGGGUUCAUGGAUUGAACUACGGUUGGAGAAGAGGAGUUUGAAGUCGACUAUUUAAGUGGCGUUGGGGAACUGGAAAAUGAUGGUUUUGUUGAACUGAAGUUGAGUGUGCUGAAAUGGGAGAUGUUAUGGUUUGAGUGAAUCCUGAAGUGGUAUUGCAGGUUAGUGAUGAAGCUGCAGAUGUAUUAUGAUUUAGGUUGGAGUUAACAGUUGGGUAUUGGUGGUGGUAAGCUUGGAUUAGUGGAUAUGUAUGUAUGAAUUUGAUGCUGACACAGAGCAGAGUUGGAGAUUAUUGUUUUUGUUAUCUUGGCUGCGGUUGUUGAAGUUUGUUUGUGCAGGCUAAGAAUGGAGCCUUGCGCAUAUCAGAAUAUUAAAUUGGUAAAUGUUAAGCUGGGGGUUAGAUGAAUGUUUAGGAUGAUAUAGGGAGGAUAAAAUCUGAGAUGUAAAUGCAGCUGGAGUUGGAGACUGGUAUCUGAAUUAUGGGAAUUAGAAGUAAUGUUGACAAUGAUAUGAUUGAGCUGAGUUAGCUGUGGUGUUGAGCUGAGAUGCAGCUGUAAAUUAUGGAACUGGUGGAGAAUGGUUAGAGUGAUAAAUGUUUGGUUCCAGUUAGGAGUAGCAUCAGUGGAGGCUUGAUGUUGCAGGUAAACUGAGCUUUCGAUAGUGAUUAAAUUAUGAAGUUUAUUUAGAAAGAAUAAUUGAAUUUCUUUUGAGUUGUUAAGAAUAAGAUGUUAUGUGACUGAGAUAUAUGAAUGAAGAUUUGAUGAGUGGGUAUGGAGUUGAAUCUCUCUUGUAAAAGCUUAGAGCUUCAACUGCAGGUAAUUAAGCAGUGAUUCUGUUUGUAAUUUGAUUAUGAAGUUUAUUUAAGAAUUUAUCAAUUGAAGUUGUAAUUGAGUUGUGUUAUGUGCAAGAACAUUAGCCUGA